GUCAACAUUCAGAUGCCUUCUCUAAGCUUGUGGGAGUGGAUCAAUUCACUCUUCCCUUUUUUUUUUUGUUUUCUUUUCAUCACAACUGCCAGCCAUGUCUCGUGGUGUGCCUCUUCGGGGAUCCGCCCCUGUUCCUCUGAGCUCCAGUCUCUCCGGUGUAAAGAGAAAUCCUGAGGUUAUGGGUGUUUCAGAAAGCCAACAGGUUGCAUGGCAGAUCCUAAACAAAAAUUUAAAAUAGCUACAAAUGAAGAUACCUUCCCAGAUGUCAGAACAUGUGAUUAUUGACAGCAGAAGUAUUUUGUGCAGUGCUACCACACCCAAUGGAAACUGAUGAUGGGCAUCUGACCUGUGGACAUCAGCUCGCACUGAAGCCAAAUGAAUGUGGGAAUUCCACUGCAGGCAGCAAUGCUCCAGAGAGAGCAUGAUGGAGCUUUGGUGGAGGCCAUGCAAUUAUCACUGACUACUGUGGAUGACUGGCAGGACAAAGUCCAGAAGGUGCUUAGAGCAGCUGAUCAAAGGAGAUGCAAAGCAUGGCCAACACUAUUGAAGUCAGAAAGCAUCUCCUAGACCAUACAACCCAAUUUCUUGAGCUAGCCUCACGGUGCCAUGCAUACCUUAAGGAGACAUGCACAAUGAUUAAGGAUCAGGUCCUUAAGCAUGUGAACAAGCCCCCAAUUCAUAAGUGAGUCCCCCCACCAGCAGUGUGCGCACAAUCUCGAUUAGGCUUACCUCUUUCCAGAAGGUUACCAGCAGUGAGACAGCUGAGCCUGUUCCCCCACCCACAUUGUCUGAGACAGAGGGGUGCCCCAAUUCCAGCAGGGCCAGGGAGCAAGGGGUGGGUCAGACAGAGGGUGCACAAUGGCCUGGAAAGAAGAUCACAUGAUGGGAGAGGGGUUCCUAUUUGGUAAUACUGCUUUGUAAAUGGUGGGUAUCCCUCAGUAUGUCAUUGUCAUUUAAAUAAGUGCUCUGGUCUAGUAA